rnacentral:rRNA from 1 species
UUCUGGCUCAGGAUGAACGCUAGCUACAGGCUUAACACAUGCAAGUCGAGGGGCAGCAUUGGAGUAGCAAUACUCAGAUGGCGACCGGCGCACGGGUGAGUAACACGUAUCCAACCUGCCGCUUACUCGGGGAUAGCCUUUCGAAAGAAAGAUUAAUACCCGAUGGUAUAAAGAGUUCGCAUGUUCUCUUUAUUAAAGAAUUUCGGUAAGCGAUGGGGAUGCGUUCCAUUAGAUAGUUGGCGGGGUAACGGCCCACCAAGUCUACGAUGGAUAGGGGUUCUGAGAGGAAGGUCCCCCACAUUGGAACUGAGACACGGUCCAAACUCCUACGGGAGGCAGCAGUGAGGAAUAUUGGUCAAUGGACGCGAGUCUGAACCAGCCAAAGUAGCGUGAAGGAUGACUGCCCUAUGGGUUGUAAACUUCUUUUAUAAGGGAAUAAAGUGAGGGACGUGUCCCUUUUUGUAUGUACCUUAUGAAUAAGGAUCGGCUAACUCCGUGCCAGCCGCGGC